rnacentral:antisense_RNA from 1 species
UUCGUCGACCAUCAUUGCCAUUCCCUCUCCCCACGU